CUUCACAAUUGGUCGUCUCGUGUUUCUCUCCCCGCCCUCCCUAGACUUCCGCUUCCGGUUCUGUUGGACGCUUCGGCUGUAAAGAUGAUCGGAGACAUCCUGCUCUUCGGAACGCUGCUGAUGAACGCCGGAGCGGUGCUUAACUUUAAGCUGAAAAAGAAGGACUCGCAUGGCUUUGGGGAGGAGUCCAGGGAGCCUAGCACAGGUGACAACAUCCGGGAAUUCCUACUGAGCCUCAGGUACUUCCGAAUCUUCAUCGCCCUGUGGAACGUUUUCAUGAUGUUCUGCAUGAUCGUGCUAUUUGGCUCCUGAGCUCCAGAUACUGAACCAGUAAUGCACCUUCCCAGAUGCCAAGCCUCCCUCUAUUUCUGACAACUUCAAGAAUGUUUUUGACUGGAAAACUGGUGACCUUCCCAGAAAGCCCAAGCUCGUGAGGAAAGCACUGAUCCACUUUCAGCCCCCUCUGGCACGUGAGCAACCCUGAAGUAAGAGUUUGGUACUGGCAAGUGUUCCUGGAUGAGAAAUCAAGCAAAAGGGUCUGUAGCAAAUCAGAAAUUCAAAGUCCAUGUUUUUCAACAAAAGAAUGGCAAGAAUCAGUUCAGUGUGUGGCUCAUGGCUUGCUUUAUUUUUAUUUUAUUUCUUCCAUCCCCAUUUUCCCCUCCUGUGCCCCCUUCCACCUCCACCUACGUGGCUGUCUUUUUGUUUUGACUUAUACCAGAUGCCAGCAAGCUGCUGCCCAGGUCUGGCCCGCUACCUACCUUUUCACGGCCCACAAGAGAGGAUGGUUUUUACUUUUGUAAAUGGUUGGAGGGGAAAUUAAAAUGAAAGGAAAUUCAAGUUUCUUUGUUCAUAAAUAAAGUUUUAUUGGAAUGCUGUCACGCCCAAUCAUUAAUGUAUCAUCAAUGGCUGCUUUGGAGCUGCAAGGGCAUAAUUGAGCCCUUGCGACUGUCAGUAUAAGAAAUGUCCAGACCUGUAAGAAUUUUUUUAUGAGUUUGUUUGAACCAAACUGACGACAACUGCUGGGAAACAAAAUCUCAGUGGAUUGAGGAAAUGUUCCAGAGAAUGGCUCUUUUGCACCUUAUUUUAUACAUUAGAAUCAAAGGAGAAGAUGUAAGGGGAAUCACAUGAAAUUCAUUGGUGGUAGAUGAGGGAAGUGGGAGAAAGCAAAGGUGGGUGUGGGGGUUGGGAGGUGAAUCUCUGCGAUUGGCUACAAAGUGAAAGGAAUAGACACACUUUUACAUAGAUGGGUAGAGGAGAGUUUUAUCGGUAACAAUAAUAAUGAGAGGCUCCGUUAUCUCCUGCUCUGUUGGGAGAUUGUGUCCUGAGGGGUCUGGAAAAAGAAAAUUCCAAAGGUAUAUUAUCUUAGCUGCAAAAAGACUAUAAAAGACAGGCUCUGUUAACCUAAAGAUUGACCUUACAUUUCAGACCAUCCUAUGUGGUUAAUUUCGGUCUCUGAGCUUGUAAGGCCCGCCAUGCAGGCCCCCCUUGAGCUUGCAGGUUUAGUAUGUGGGCCCUUUUUCGUCCACAGGACAGAGACUGUCUAGCCGAGUGGUCGGCAAACUCAUUAGUCAACAGAGCCAAAUAUCAACAGUACGAUUGAAAUUUCUUUUGAGAGCCAAAUUUUUUAAACAAACUAUAUAGGUAGGUACACUGUUAUUAACUUAAUUAGGGUACUCCUAAGGCUUAGGAAGAGCCACACUCAAGGGGCCAAAGAGCCGCAUGUGGCUCGCGAGCCGCAGUUUGCCGACCAUGGGUCUAACCUGCCAAACUGAACAUUUACUGUUGACCCUUUACAGAUAGGUUUGCCAACCUCUGGAAUAGACAAUUUAAAAGACCCGGCCGGUGUGCUCAGUAGUCGGGCAUUGAUCUAUGAACCAAGAGGUCGAGGUUCGAUUCCUGGUCAGGGCACAUGCCCGGAUUGUGGGCACAAUCUCCAGUAAGUGGUGUGCAGGAGGCAGCUGAUCAAUGAUUUUCUCUCAUCAUUGAUGUUUCUAUCUCCCCCUCUCCCUUCCUUUAUGAAAUCAAUAAAAAUAUAUUUUUUAAAAAGACACGGGAGGAUCCCGUUCAUCUGUGUUUACUUCACAUCAUUGUCAUGGCAGGUAGUGGUAAAUGUGGGCCACCGGAGUAUAUAGACUAUGCCGGGGGAGUUGUGGAAGUUAUUUUAGGGGGAAUAAAGCUUCAUUGCAUCUCAUUAGAGUUCAUUGUGUGAAUUAGGAAAAAGAGGGUUGUGGCAGAAAGGAAGAUGUGUGGGGGUGGUAAGAACAGCACUAGGAGUUCAGACCAGUGUGGUUGGACCAGACCCGGGUUCAGCAACCUCGGUACUCGAGAUCUGGCUAGGAAAGAAUUCAGAGCCAAGACUCAACUACAAGAGAACAUUUAGAAAAUCACAGAGGUAGAAGAAGUAAUUUGUGGAAGAAAUGGGCUGAGGAAACAACUUAUAAAGACAAAAGAGGGGCCCUUGGAGCUUAGAAGUGAGGAAGGCAAAGGUGAUAUGCCUGGGAGGGAAGGGAAAGGCGUGGGUGUGCUCCCAGGCGGGACUGUGUACUAGGUCCUCAUUUCUAAGGGUUUUAAGGGUGGAGAUUUUAGGGGAGGUUCCAGGGGAAGAUCUCAGUAGAAUAUUCAGCAGUUUUCCAGGUGUGUCCUUUCAGGGCCUGGGUUUCCACUGACCUGUCGGUGUCAGGGCAGCAAUUCGGUCCUGAGGUCAGCCGUGGUGUCACUUGUCUGGGUUUGCUGCUUUUCUGGGCCUGGAGCUGAAAUACAACUGAGGCCUAGAUGUUAUUUCUAGGGAGGAAAGGUCAGGGGGUCCAAAGCCCAUGACCAGAGAGAUAUGCUAGGGGAGGAAAUGUCACCCUGAGGACGAGGUCCCACCCUACCGUUGUCCUUUGCUAAGCUUUUGCUCUCCACCCUGAUGACCUUUUUUACCUGGCCCAGCGUCCUUGCCCUGCUCAUACCUAUCUGCCUACCACAGAUGGAGGCCUGGCCUAGACAGAGUGGGCUCUGCCCUUCACAGAGGGCAGCGUCGACUGGCCUCUCUGCACCUCCACAUCCUCAUCUGUGAUAUGGGACGGUGAAGGAGAAAGCUUUGACCUGUGCCUCUAACCUGCCUGGCGUGGGACAGGUACUCAAUAAGUGGUGUUAUUUUCAUCGAUGUUAUUACUUUUAUUAAAAGACACUCUUGACAGGGUUUUAUGAGGCUUAAAUGAGACAAUGUCUUAGGCAGCUGGGGCUGCCAUAACGAAAUGUCACUGAUUCGGUGGCUUAAACAAGGCUUUUAUUUUCUCACAAUUCCGGAGGCUGAAAGUCCAAGAUCCAGGAGCCAGCAGGUUUAAGGUGAGGCCUCGCGCCUCAGUUUGUAAACAGCUACCUUCUCACUGUGUCCUAAGUGUCCUUCCCUCUGUGUGUGUUCCUGGUGUUUCUCUUACGAGGGUACCAGCGGUAUUGGAUCAGGGCUCACUCUUAUGACCUCAUUUAACCUUAGUUACCUCUUUAAAGACUCUGUCUCCAAAUAUAGUCUCAUUGGGUGUUAGGACUCCAACAUAUGAAUUUUGAGAGGACACAAUUCAGUCUGUAACAGAUGGCCAAGGUUCUCGCCUAUUCAGCAGCUGUUAGUUCAUCUCCUUGGCCAAUAGUAUGCUUUAAGGCAUUACAGUUUUUUAAAACUUCAUGUGGUCUACAAAGCUGACGCUGAGAACUGCUAUGAAGGAAUCUGCCGCCUGAUGUUCCACAGUUAAGUGUUUGUGUGAAUUGGAUGGUGGCUUCCACCCUGGCAUCUCAGACUUUAAUGACCCCAUGGGUUCCCUGGCGGUCUAGGUGAAGUAUGGAUUUGACUUAGCAGGUUGGAGGCACAGUUGAGAUUCUGUAUGUCUAACCAGCUCCCAGGGUUUGUCCAUGUUGCUGGUUCACAGGCCACACUUUGAACUGGUCUGCCUAGGGCUGGCUGGUAGUGUGCAGGUUCUUGAUUUCAUGCAGGGAAGAUUUCAUAAAAAAAAAAAAAAAAAGAUUUCAUAAUAUAA